rnacentral:rRNA from 1 species
AGAACGAACGCUGGCGGCAUGCCUAAUACAUGCAAGUCGAACGAACACUUCGGUGUUAGUGGCGCACGGGUGCGUAACGCGUGGGAAUCCGCCCUUGGGUUCGGAAUAACAGUUGGAAACGACUGCUAAUACCGGAUGAUGACGAAAGUCCAAAGAUUUAUCGCCCAGGGAUGAGCCCGCGUAGGAUUAGCUAGUUGGUGAGGUAAAGGCUCACCAAGGCGACGAUCCUUAGCUGGUCUGAGAGGAUG